rnacentral:rRNA from 1 species
CUGACCGUGCAAAGGUAGCGUAAUCACUUGUCUCUUAAAUAGCGACCUGUAUGAAUGGCAUAACGAGGGCUUAACUGUCUCCUUUCUCAAGUUAAUGAAAUUGACCUCCCCGUGCAGAGGCGGGGAUAUAAACAUAAGACGAGAAGACCCUAUGGAGCUUUAGGCACUAAGGCUGCCCACGUAAAAACCUCCUAUAAAAGAAUAUAACUUUGUGGAGCCAGCCUAAUUGCCUUUGGUUGGGGCGACCGCGGGGAAACACAAAACCCCCAUGUGGAAUGGGGUCACUACAACCCUAAAGACGAGAGCUCCCGCUCUAAUAAACAGAAAUUCUGACCUUACUGAUCCGGUUUUGACCGAUCAACGAACCGAGUUACCCUAGGGAUAACAGCGCAAUCCCCUUAUAGAGCCCAUAUCGACAAGGGGGUUUACGACCUCGAUGUUGGAUCAGGAUAUCCUAAUGGUGCAGCCGCUAUUAAGGGUUCGUUUGUUCAACGAUUAAAAUCCUACGUGAUCUGAGUUCAGACCGGAG